CAGGUCUUGACAUCCUCUGACAACCCUAGAGAUAGGGCGUUCCCCUUCGGGGGACAGAGUGACAGGUGGUGCAUGGUUGUCGUCAGCUCGUGUCGUGAGAUGUUGGGUUAAGUCCCGCAACGAGCGCAACCCUUGAUCUUAGUUGCCAGCAUUAAGUUGGGCACUCUAAGGUGACUGCCGGUGACAAACCGGAGGAAGGUGGGGAUGACGUCAAAUCAUCAUGCCCCUUAUGACCUGGGCUACACACGUGCUACAAUGGAUGGAACAAAGGGCAGCGAAGCCGCGAGGUGAAGCCAAUCCCAUAAAACCAUUCUCAGUUCGGAUUGCAGGCUGCAACUCGCCUGCAUGAAGCCGGAAUCGCUAGUAAUCGCGGAUCAGCAUGCCGCGGUGAAUACGUUCCC
rnacentral:rRNA from 1 species